UUUGCUUAGUCACCUUUGGCUCUAUUUUCCUAACAGUAUCCAUAUCACACAUGUAACCCAGCCUUUGAAUUUGUCAAAGUUGAUAAGCUAGAUUAACUACCAUUAAUAUUAUGAUAUUAUCUUAUAAGUUAUAUCUUACCUUCAUGUGAUUCUAUGUGCAGCAACCAUUGCAACUUUGACAGACCUUGGCUUCCUAUGGUUUAGAGAAUUUUAUUUGGAAUCAUCUCGUGUUAUUCAGAUAUUUUAUACAAGGCAAAUAUGAAUACUGGAAGUGUCCUUGAAGUGUGCUUGAGCUUUUCGAUUUUUCACAUCAAGUCCUCAAUGUCGUAGAAGUAGAGACUCUGUCAUCUACACAAUCACCCAGGAAUCCUCACUUUUCCCAGAUGUGACAAGCGAAAUAGAAAAUGAUACUUAAUUUUGAAGGCUUUGUGUUGGGCAGCUGUAGAAUAUUUUGUG